ACGGACAUCUUGUUGGUAGAUUUUGAGACAGUAUUACAAUUGUUGAAGGUGCUGUUAACUACAAAAGAACAACAUUCUCAAUGACCCAGAGCUUUCUGGUACUAGACCAAUAUUCAAAGAAUGAACAUAGACAGAAAUAUGGCUCCAAAUGCAUAUGUGGCAGAGGAUUGCUUUUUUGGCACCAAUGGAAGGAGAAGCCCUUGGUUCUACCUUGGUUUGUCUCCCAGUUUAAGGGAAUGUCAAAGGGCAGAAUUAUAGUUAGAGAAGAAGGGAUUGUGAACAGGUUGUGAUUUAAUGGGCAGGAAACUGAGAAAGGAAAUAAUAUUUUAAACGUAAAUAUAGCCUCAUCCAGUUUAAAAAUCACUUAAAUUGAUAAAAAAUUAAAAAAAGAAAGAAAUAAAAGUAAAGAAAACUUCCAACUAAUCACAGUUAUUUACUCAGAAAUCUAAAUUGGUAUUCAGAGUAAUACUUGUAGCAAGACAAAGAUGAUGAAGUCUCAACUAGAAGCACUUCUUUCUCCGAGAUAUCCGUGUCAGACACAAAAUGCACUAUAGGUAUCCAAAGCUUGGAGGAGUUUACUCUGACCUGAGGACCCAAUACUUGUCUUUACCUCCUUCCUUAGGACCUUUUUCUUCUGGGCAAAAAGAAAAAAAGGCCAUAGAUCUCAGAAAAACAACUGUGCCCUCUCAAAAUUUUGCUUUGUAAUUAGGAAAUGAAUGAUAUAAAACCUUUGACAUCCAGGUACCAUAAGAACAGGGAAGUCCAGAUGCUUCUGUGAAGCUUCCAGCUCUUGAUUCCCAUAUGUGUAAGUCUCAGAUCAAGUCUAUCUCUUCAGCGAUACCACUCCAACCCUUCCAAGGGCUCCCUGAACUUUUCAAAGUACCACUUAUUUUUCCUUUUUUUUUUUCAUACAAAGACAGAAGGUCAGCUUCUUUCUCCCCAUCUCUGAUCUCUUUAUCCUUUUUGUUCUCACUCCCAAAUGGCUGUUUACUCUGAAUUAGUGGCCAAUUAGCAAACCGGAGAGUUACUGAGGGAAUAUGUGAGAGGCAGUUCCUGUCAGGACAGUAAUUGUUACAUCACAGAAGAAGCUAGGGCUCUCCUAGUUACAACAAAUUUGUCAUGGAGGUCCUAUUUAUGAUGUCACUGAGAACGGCCAUCUCCUACAUGCUAAACAGCUUUCCUUACAUUUACCAGAUUCGAAGGUGUCCUUUCCAGUUCAAGGUAAACUGGAGGUUCACUUGGGAUGCAAUGAAGAGCCCCUGACAAGCAUAUUCUUCAAAGCCUCCCAUGGUGUAACUGAAGAUACGAUAUGUGAAGUAGCCCUAGCUUGCCUGCUCAAGUGGACAAGAGCACUUUCACCAAAGGCCCACAUUGGCCUGAAAUAUCUUAUUUUGCCCAAGGCGUACUCAUGCCUGCACUCUCUUGUGGCCAUCAUUAGCACUUCUUCUCUUGAUUUUGUGAGCCUGCUAUAUCCCAACUCUUUAGGAUUACAUACAAACUUAUUUCUGCUACAUGUAUUCUGAGACAUUCCUCCAUGGAAGAAAGGGGUGUUGAUCUUUUCUUGUCUGACAAAAGUCUUCAAAGCCCAAAGACAACUGCUGGAAUGAAAUGCAACCUAUAGGACUGAUGGAAGAAUUGCUACCUGGACUUUCAAAUGGCAUGAAAAUAUAUGGACAUUCUAAAUACUGAAAAAGAAUAGGAAGCUGAUCAAGCAAUACUGGAUCUUCCUCUGCUCCACGAGAAUUCCCAGUGAUGUCCACGGUGCAAUAACAACUUUUUCCCAUGAAGUCUGGUAUAUUACCUUUUUGAUGACUGACACAACAGUCCUACUUCUGUAGGUGUCCUUUCACAUGCAGAGGAAUGUGUAGAUGGACAUAUAUUUGAAUAAGAUACUGAACCUAAGACUACUGCAUUAGAGCCUCGUACAAGAAUUCUAAGACUGUUGACUGCCUACCAUGGAUAUUCAGGGAGAUUAGAUCACUGUGACUACCUAUGCAGUCUUUCUCUACCUUUAAAGAUCCAAGGAACUAUUCUCACUCCAGUGACCUGUUGAAACUUUCUCCAGUGCCCAUGUGUUGAAGACUCUUCCCCAUCUUUUCUUCUAUUAAAGUAGUGCCCACCUCGACCAGCAAGGAAGACACAUCACCGUUGGAUUCUUCUCAACAGCCUUUAUUUCAGGAAAACCUCAUUCUUGAUGAGGGGGGCCCCGAGGGAAAAAAGGCACUCCCCCUAAAUACAAGAAAGGCUGUGGUUGUAAA